AACUAACGCUGGCGGCAUGCCUAACACAUGCAAGUCGAACGAGACCUUCGGGUCUAGUGGCGCACGGGUGCGUAACGCGUGGGAACCUGCCCUUAGGUUCGGAAUAACUCCCCGAAAGGGGUGCUAAUACCGGAUAAUGUCUUCGGACCAAAGAUUUAUCGCCUUUGGAUGGGCCCGCGUUGGAUUAGCUAGUUGGUAGGGUAAAAGCCUACCAAGGCGACGAUCCAUAGCUGGUCUGAGAGGAUGAUCAGCCACACUGGGACUGAGACACAGCCCAGACUCCUACGGGAGGCGGCAGUGGGGAAUAGUGGAAAGUGGGCGAAAGCCUGAUCCAGCAAUGCCGCGUAAGUGAUGAAGGCCUGAAGGUUGUAAAGCUCUUUUAACCGGGAAGAUAAUGACAGUACCGGGAGAAUAAGCUCCGGCUAACUCCGUG
rnacentral:rRNA from 1 species